GACGAACGCUGGCGGCGUGCUUAACACAUGCAAGUCGAGCGGUAAGGCCCUUUCGGGGGUACACGAGCGGCGAACGGGUGAGUAACACGUGGGUGACCUGCCCUCAGCUCUGGGAUAAGCCUGGGAAACCGGGUCUAAUACCGGAUAUGACUCCAUGACGCAUGUUGUGGGGUGGAAAGCCUUGUGCGGCUGAGGAUGGGCCCGCGGCCUAUCAGCUUGUUGGUGGGGUGAUGGCCUACCAAGGCGACGACGGGUAGCCGGCCUGAGAGGGCGACCGGCCACACUGGGACUGAGACACGGCCCAGACUCCUACGGGAGGCGAGCAGGUGGGGAAUCUUGCGCAAGUGGGCGAAAGCCUGACGCAGCGACGCCGCGU
rnacentral:rRNA from 1 species